GCGGGUAUAGCUCAGUGGUAGAGCUCCAGCUUCCCAAGCUGGCUAUGUGGGUUCGAUUCCCAUUACCCGCUCCA
rnacentral:tRNA from 1 species